UGGGGAAUAUUGGACAAUGGGCGAAAGCCUGAUCCAGCCAUGCCGCGUGAGUGACGAAGGCCUUAGGGUUGUAAAACUCUUUCGUCGGGGACGAUAAUGACGGUACCCGAAGAAGAAGCUCCGGCUAACUUCGUGCCAGCAGCCGCGGUAAUACGAAGGGAGCUAGCGUUGUUCGGAAUCACUGGGCGUAAAGCGCACGUAGGCGGAUAGUUAAGUCAGGGGUGAAAUCCUGGGGCUCAACCCCAGAACUGCCUUUGAUACUGGCUGUCUCGAGGUCGAGAGAGGUUGGUGGAAUUCCUAGUGUAGAGGUGAAAUUCGUAGAUAUUCGCAGGAACACCAGUGGCGAAGGCGACUUGCUGGGCUUGUAGUGACGCUGAGACGCGAAAGCGUGGGGAGCAAACAGGAUUAGAUACCCACGUAGUCCCUGAGCGGGCUGGCAAGGCGCAU
rnacentral:rRNA from 1 species